rnacentral:sRNA from 1 species
AAAAACUAAAUAUUGUACCCAGAGUUCCCCACUUGUCUUGCCCUGGCCUUGCCUGGAAAAAUUGCAGGAAAAACUCUGGAGUUGAAACUCAGGCAAAGUACAGUGAAGGAGAACUUUGUGGGCUGCCUACCUUUGCAACUUAUUAUAAUUUCUGAAUAAUUUUGUGUGUGUUUUAUUUCUUUCUCCCCCACAGAACACGACUUAAUGCUCUCCGAGAGGUACAACCCGUAGAACUUCCUAACUGUAAUUUAGUUAAAGGAAUCGAAACUGGCUCUGAAGACUUGGAGAUACUGCCUAAUGGACUGGCUUUCAUUAGCUCUGGAUUAAAGUAUCCUGGAAUAAAGAGCUUCAACCCCAACAGUCCUGGAAAAAUACUUCUGAUGGACCUGAAUGAAGAAGAUCCAACAGUGUUGGAAUUGGGGGUCACUGGAAGUAAAUUUGAUGUAUCUUCAUUUAACCCUCAUGGGAUUAGCACAUUCACAGAUGAAGAUAAUGCCAUGUACCUCCUGGUGGUGAACCAUCCAGAUGCCAAGUCCACAGUGGAGUUGUUUAAAUUUCAAGAAGAAGAAAAAUCGCU